UGGAAAUGGUUUAGGGGGAAGUGGUGGUGGAGGAAGUGGUGAGGAAGGUAGUGGUUGAGAAGGUGGUGGAGGAGGUGGUGGUGGAGAAAGUGGUGACGGAGGAGAUGGUGGUGGAGGAAGUGGUGGUGGAGGUGGAGGAGGUGGUGGAGGAGGUGGUGAAGGAAGUGGUGGUGGUGGAGGAAGUGGUUGUGGAGGAAGUGGUGGUGAUGGUAGAGAAAGUGGUGGUGGAGGCGGUGGAUGAGGUGGUUGAGGUGGCAGAGGAAGUGGUGGAAAAAGAGAAAGUGGUGGUUUUAGAGAAAGUGUUGAUGAUGGAGGAGGUGGGGGUGGUGGUGGAGGUGUAUGUGGUGGAGGAGGAGGUGGUGGUUGUGGUGGAUGAAGUGGUGGUGGUAGAGGAAUUGGUGGUGGAGGAGGAGGUGGUGGAGGAAGUAGUGGUGUUAGAGGAAGUGGUGGUGGAGGUGGAGGAGGUGGUGGAGUAUGUGGUGGUGGAGGAGGGGAUGGUGGAGGAAGUAGUUGUGUUAGAGGAAGUGGUGGAGGUGGAGGAAGUGGUGGAGGUGGUGGUUGUGGUGGACGAAGUGGUGGUGGUAGAGGAAUUGGUGGUGGAGGAGGAUGUGGUGGAGGAAG
ensembl:lncRNA